rnacentral:rRNA from 1 species
CGGCGAGUGAGCGGCAAAGCUCAAUUUGAAAUCUGGUACCUUCGGUGCCCGAGUUGUAAUUUGGAGAGGGCAACUUUGGGGCCGUUCCUUGUCUAUGUUCCUUGGAACAGGACGUCAUAGAGGGUGAGAAUCCCGUGUGGCGAGGAGUGCGGUUCUUUGUAAAGUGCCUUCGAAGAGUCGAGUUGUUUGGGAAUGCAGCUCUAAGUGGGUGGUAAAUUCCAUCUAAAGCUAAAUAUUGGCGAGAGACCGAUAGCGAACAAGUACAGUGAUGGAAAGAUGAAAAGAACUUUGAAAAGAGAGUGAAAAAGUACGUGAAAUUGUUGAAAGGGAAGGGCAUUUGAUCAGACAUGGUGUUUUGUGCCCUCUGCUCCUUGUGGGUAGGGGAAUCUCGCAUUUCACUGGGCCAGCAUCAGUUUUGGUGGCAGGAUAAAUCCAUAGGAAUGUAGCUUGCCUCGGUAAGUAUUAUAGCCUGUGGGAAUACUGCCAGCUGGGACUGAGGACUGCGACGUAAGUCAAGGAUGCUGGCAUAAUGGUUAUAUGCCGCCC